rnacentral:other from 1 species
CAAGCCCUGCAAUUUGAGGAUGGGCAAAUUAUAAAGAUCCAACACGUUAAAACAUGGGAACUUUGCUCUGGGCGUGUAUUACAGGCCUCACCCGUUCGCGGGUUAGUGGAAGUAAAAAGCGUGCAGGCGGGUACCCACCGUGUCGGUCACGGGUUCUUUAUAAAUCCAUCACAUAAUUGCAGGGUUCUU